rnacentral:rRNA from 1 species
GGUGCUUGCACCCCGCUGACGAGCGGCGGACGGGUGAGUAAUGCAUAGGAAACUGCCCAGUGGUGGGGGAUAGCCCGGGGAAACCCGGAUUAAUACCGCGUACGCCCUUCGGGGGAAAGCAGGGGAUCUUCGGACCUUGCGCUAUUGGAUGUGCCUAUGUCGGAUUAGCUAGUUGGGGGGGUAAAGGCCUACCAAGGCGACGAUCCGUAGCUGGUCUGAGAGGAUGAUCAGCCACAUCGGGACUGAGACACGGCCCGAACUCCUACGGGAGGCAGCAGUGGGGAAUAUUGGACAAUGGGGGCAACCCUGAUCCAGCCAUGCCGCGUGUGUGAAGAAGGCUUUCGGGUUGUAAAGCACUUUCAGUGAGGAGGAAAACUCUGCGACUAAUACUCGUAGGGCUUGACGUUACUCACAGAAAAAGCACCGGCUAACUCCGUGCCAGCAGCCGCGGUAAUACGGAGGGUGCAAGCGUUAAUCGGAAUUACUGGGC